GACGAAGGAUGCAAGCGUUAUCCGGAUUCAUUGGGUUUAAAGGGAGCGUAGGUGGCCUUAUAAGUCAGUGGUGAAAUCUCUGGGCUUAACCCAGAAAUUGCCAUUGAUACUGUAGGGCUUGAGUACAGUUGCUGUGGGCGGAAUAUGACAUGUAGUGGUGAAGUACAUAGAGAUGUCAUAGAACACCGAUUGCGAAGGCAGCUCACAAAACUGUAACUGACACUGAGGCUCGAAAGUGCGGGGAUCAAACAGG
rnacentral:rRNA from 1 species